rnacentral:tRNA from 3 species
AGGGGCAUCGCCAAGCGGUAAGGCAACAGACUUUGACUCUGUUAUUCGUAGGUUCGAAUCCUGCUGCCCCUGCCA